UACUCUGUUGCCCACGCUGGAGUACAGUGGUGCGAUCAUAACUCACUGCAGCCUUGACCUCCUGGGCUCAAGUGAUCCUCCCACCUCAGCCUCCUGAGUAGCUGGGACUGUACGCGGCUGCCACUAUGCCCAGCUAAUUUUUAAGUUUUCUUUGUAGAGACAGGGUCUGCUGGGUUACCCAGGCUGGUAUCAAAUCCCUGGUCUCAAGAGAUCCUCCUAUCUUGAAGCGCUGGGAUUACAGCUGUGAGCAAUCGGGCCCAGCCUUGCCUAGUGUGUUGGGGCGACUUGCCUUUAAUCUAGGAGAGAAAGGAGCCUACUUGGCUGCCUUCUGUUGCUAGGUCGGGAGUUGGGAAAUGCACGCCUGGGCGGGUCCUGUAUUGGGUGGGGUUGAGGGGUGUCGUAACGCCCUGUUGAUAAAUAUUCCUGACCCAGCCUUGGGGUCCUUCACCAGCUCUCCUGCUCCUUCCACCUCAGGGCCCUCUUAGGGUUGCCUCUUGCAUUCUUUCCAGGGCUUAGCAGACAGGAACAGGGAGGGUCGGGUUUAGGCCAUCUUACCCAGACCGGAAGUCUCUAAGUAUUUGAUUGAGUGUUUGUUUGAAGAAAGUGAUGAACCCAGGACCUCGAGCCAGGAAGAUUUUUCCCGGUGAAAAGUGGAGGGAUUGACUCACGCUGGGUUCUGAGUUCCAGGCCCGACUCCAGGGCUCACCAGCUUCUUCCACAACCCGCACGACUUGAACGCUUGGUAGCAUCUCCGCACAGCAGUGGGCACCCUGGCUUCUGGAGGAGCCCAGGCUGCAUUUGUUCCUCCAUGGUGCAUCUCAUAGGAUCAACUGGACCCGUGAAAGGCACUGGCUGCGGAAAAGCAGCCAACUCCUCCCCAGCGAAGGGGAUGGCCAGAAGCGAGGAAAGGGAGAAGCCCCAGCAGAGACCCCAGGAGGAAAAGACCCCACAACGGGGCCACUGGGAACCCAUGAUGUUGGUUACCAAUGUGGCUGGAGGUUCAGAACGAUGGACGUGUGGCCCUGGAGUGGGAAACAGAAAAGCUGAAGGGUGAGACCUGGGAGGUAGCCCCCCACCCCCGUGGACUCUGAGACCCAACCUUCCUUCCCUGCGCUCCAGCCGGACGUUCUCCCUGCCCCUGUGGCUGAGCCUGGUGACGAUUCAGCACACAGGAAGGUGGCCCUGCCCAGGGCCAAGCUCUCUCUCAGUUGGCACCUGGCCAGCUUCCUUUCCUUGACCUUACCAUGCUCCUUUCUGGAAGGCACCGCUCCAGACCGUCUCCUUGGAAAAGCUACUUCAGUCCCAGUGCCUGUCCCUGCCACACUCAACAUUCCUGUCUGGAAAAGAGUUGCUCUUUAUUCAGCACCUACUCAGGAGGCUGAGGCAGGAGAAUCACUGGAACCCAGAAGAUGGAGGUUGCGGUGAGCCAAGAUCAUGCCAUUGCACUCCAGCCUGGGCAACAAGAGGGAAACUCCAUCUCCAAAAUAAAUAAAUAAAUAAA